rnacentral:lncRNA from 1 species
UACAGAAAUAGUAAGGAUGUUGUUAGACAGAGAAGCAGAUUAUAAUAAAUGUGACAAGGAAGGCAAGUCAGCUGUCAUAAUUGCUUCUGAAAGAGGUCAUGGUGAUAUAGUUAAUGUUUUAAAUGAACAUUCUAGGAACAAAACAGGUACAUAACAUUAGAAGUUUAAAUUACUUUAGAAAACCUUUAUAACUCCUACAAAUUACUAAAACUGUCUUCAUCAGUAUAUAUGUUCAUAUUGUUGUUUUACCACUGUACUUAAAAGUUAUCUUCCUAAAAAUGCAUGAAAUAUUUACCUCUGGAUGUUAAGCAUACAACAAUCAAUCAAUCCAAAAGUUUAAAACACAGAUAAACGCAGGAGGAUUUGUUUUUGAUUGGUUAUUUAUUUUUGUAAACGAAGAGGACAGAUUAUUCAUUUUCUUUGAUAUUGAAGCAAGAUUUUUCAUUUUCAUUAAAGCAAGGGACUGAUUAUUCAUUUUCACGACUAUAUCUAUGGUAUUCGAAAACAAACAAUUUUUAAAUGAUUUGUUUAUCAUAAAUAAUACCUCAGUAUAGGUCAUUGUCCUAGUGGUUUUGUUAUUAUGGGUCAAAGAAGGUCAGUUUAACAGGUUCAUAGAAAAUAAAUUGGUUCGAAUACAAUAACUUUAGUAUAAGUGUAUGGGUCUAUCUAUGUGAAACAGGGCUUUAGCACAAGGUCCAUUUGACCACAAUAAGGAGGUUUGGAUAUACUCAAGAAAUUUUUGGGAUUUUAUUGUUGCAGAUGUUUUGUAAUUAAGGGCCAAAAGACAAGGGGCCAAAACCAAUUAUUUGUCUGGUGAAACUUUAGCACAAGGUUCCAUACCACAAUAGGACUUGAGUUAUGAAGAUGACUGAGAUUAAUUAUAUUUUGUCAUAUAGCUGAAUAAGGGACCAAAAAGGACUUAACAAAAACAAUUAUUUGUCUGGUUCACAGACAAUAAAUUGAGUAUAAGUGAAAGUGCAUGGAUCUUUAUUAGAUUUUAGCACAAGGUUCCAUAUCACAAUAGGAAGGUUGGGAAUUAUUUUGGGGUUAUUGUGGAAGCUGUUUGAUAAUAAGCGGCCAAAAAGGGCCAAAAGAGGCAUUUUUCAUGUUUCAGGACAAUUAUUUGCGUAUUAGAGUAUGGAUCUCUAUGAAAUUUUACCACAAGGUUCCGUACUUCAUAAUGAAAGUUUUAAUUUAUAUUUAGGGGGUCAAACUGUCUAAUAAAUAGGGGUUUAAAAGGGAUUUUCUGGUUUCUGGACAAAAACUUGAGUAUAACUCUAUUUACUGCUAUUUAAUUCUGCCACAAGAUGUUAUAUCAUAAAAUAAAGUUUGGGGUUAUGACCUUAAUGGUUAAGUUAAAAAGGGCAAAAAAUAAUUCUUUGUAUACAUUGCUUAUUGCUUUAGCAAUUUCAAUGGGGUUUAAUUCAAAUUCUUGAAUUCUUACAUUGGGAUUCUUUAAUCUGGUAUUUAUAAUUUGGAUUUGGGGUAUGUUUUUCAAUUGGUCCAUAUUAAGAUUCAAUAUUAAUUAUUGGUGUUCUUUGAUAUGCUGAAUCUAAUAAUGUAUUAAGAUUUUUAAUUUUCGGGCCUGUCUUCAAAUUGGUCCCCAUUGAGGUCCCAAGGGUCCAAAAUUAAUAUUGCUGGUUCUAAAAAAAAUGACUGGUUGGGGUUCUUUGAUAUGCUGAAUCUAAGGGUGUAUUUAGAUUUUUGAUUUUGGGCACAGUAUUCAAAUUGGUUAGAUUGGGGUCAAAAAUUGAACUUUGUUUGAUUUCAUCAAGAAUUUAAUUCUGGUGUUUUUUGAAAUGGCCAAUCCAACAGUGCUUUAGAUUUUUGAUUUUGGACCCAGUUUUCAAAUAGGUCCACAUUGAGGUCCAAAGGGUCCAAAAUUAAACUGUUUGAUUUUAUCAAAAAUUGAAUUAUUGGGGUUCUUUGAUAUGCCGAAUCUAACUGUGUAAUUAUAUUUUUAAUUUUGGUCCCGUUUUCAAAUUGGUCUGCAUUAUGGUCCUCGGAGUUCUUUAAUAUGCUGAAUUCAUCGUGUAUUAAGUUUUGGAUUUUUGACCCCGUUUUCUUAUAGGUCCACAUUGAGGUCCAAAGGGUCCAAAAUUAAACUUUGUUUGAUUUCAUCAAAAAAUGAUUUAUGGACUUCUCUUUAACUGAAUUUUAAAUGUACGUAUUGUUAUGUGGUUACUUUUCUACAUUGGCUAGAGGUAAAGGGGAGGGUUGAGAUCUCAUAAACAUGUUUAACCCCGCCGCAAUUUUGCGCCUGUCCCAAGUCAGGAGCCUCUGGCCUUUGUUAGUCUUGUAUUAUUUUAAUUUUAGUUUCUUGUGUACAAUUUGGAAAUUAGUAUGGCGUUCAUUAUCACUGAACUACUAUAUAUUUGUUUAGGGGCCAGCUGAAGGACGCCUCCGGGUGCGGGAAUUUCUCGCUACAUUGAAGACCUGUUGGUGACCUUCUGCUGUUGUUUUUUCUAUGGUCGGGUUGUUGUCUCUUUGACACAUUCCCCAUUUCCAUUCUCAAUAUUAUUGGGGGUCUUUGAUAUGCCGAAUCUAACAGUAUAUUUAGAUUUUGUUUUAAUUUUCGGUCCUGUUUUCAAAACUGGCCUACAUUAAGGUCCAACGGGUCCAAAAUUAGACUUAGUUUGAUUUUAACAAAAAAUGAACUCUUGGGGUUCUUUAAUAUGCUGAAUCUAACCCGGUAUUUAGUUUUUGGAUGUUGGGUCCUGCUUUUAAAUUGGUUCACAUUUAGGUCCAAAAGGUCCAAAAUUGAAUUUGUUUUGUUUGUUUUUAUAAAAAAUUGAAUGUAUGGAGUUCUUUGAUAUGCUGAAUCUAACCGUGAAUUUAGAUAUUUGAAUUUUGGGUCCUGUUAUUAAACUGGUCCACAUUGAGGUCAAAAGGGUCGAAAAUUAAACUUUGUUUGAUUUCCUUAAAAAUUGAAUUAUUGGGGUUCUUUGAUAUGCUGGAUCUAAGCAUGCAUUUAGAUUUUGGAUAUUGGACCAUAAUCGGUUAAUGUCCUAUUUAACAUUUAAAUUCUUAAACCACAUUCAUUAUGUGUCAGAAACCUAUGCUCUGUCAACUAUUUAAUCACAAUCCAAAUUCAGAGCUGUAUCAAGCUUGAGAGUUGUGUCCAUACUUGCUCCAACUGUUCAGGGUUCGACCUCAGGGUAUCAAGCUGCGCCCUGCGGAGCAUUUUAUUUAUUUUUUGGACAAGUUUUCCAAUGGGUCCACAUAGUCCAAAAUUAAGAUUAUUUUGAUUUUAUGAAAAAAAUGAAUUCAAGUUUUUUUUUGCUAAACUGAAACCAGAGGCUUUCUAUACUAACGGGACUGGUCACUUAACGAUAUCUAUACAAAUUAGUCAGUAUAGAAAGUCCCUGCUGAAUCUAAGCAUGUAUUUAGAUUUUUGAUUUCUGGCCAAGUUUUCAUUUGGUCUAAAUCGGGAUUCAAAAUUAAACUUUGUUUGAUUUCAACAAUAAUUGAAUAUAUGUGGUUCUUUGAUAUGCUGAAUCUAACAAUGUAUUCAGAUUUUGGGCCGCGAUUUGAUUGAUUGAUUGUUGGUUGCUUUACGCCGCAUUAGCACAAAAAGGCUGUAUCGCGGCGAGAGCUAAUUCGAAUAUUUUUACAAUUUAAAGCAUAUUUUUAAAAUAAGACAAAAAGUCCUUCAAUAUACUAAAAUUGUAGACUGAAGCAAAUUGAUUAUUUACAAAUAAAAAUCAACAGUAAGAUUAAAAGUUAAAAACGACUUAAGUAUUAUAACAUUUUUAUAUUCUUUAAUAAAUUCCAAUUUCUUUUAAAAAUGCAACAAUAUUUGUAAAUGGAACAUUACUAAAUAAAUCAUACAUAUUCUUGACAUUGAAAUGCUUCUUACGAAAAUCAGCAAAGUUUAGUUUUUCGACCAAAUUCAUUCUGUGUCAGAAACCUCUUUUUAAUGUAUCUUUUAUGCAUAUUAAAAAGCAAAUUCAAAUGAAACAUAUUUUUAACCAUAAAUAAAACAUUGCUUGUAUGGUAGAUUAAUUUGUAAUUAAAAGGUCCAUGUAAAGAUGCCGUGCAUGCCACUUUUAUUGUUUAUUUGUUUAUUAUGUGCUGUACAUAUGUUGGAAAUAGAACAUUUUUGUUUUAUCAUUUUAAAUUUUAAAGUUAAGGGAAAACUCCAUAUAUAUUUGGAGGGGCUCCUAAUUAAAGGAGGCUUAUACUAUACUAAGAAGAAGCUGCAUGCGUAUUUGUUAGUGCAAAACCAGUUUUGGUUUGAUAAACUUUCCAUGUGUUAAUGAAAACCAGUUUGAAACUAGUUUCGAACCUAAACUGGUUUGACGUUUGUUAUUCUCAAACCAAAACUGGGUUCCAGAAACUAUUCAAACCAUGUCCAAGGGUGGUUUAUGGUUUUGGUUUUAUAGGGUUUAAAAUGGCGGCAAUGUUGAUGCAGUGUAGUGGUCGCGAAAAACUUUAUGCAGAUUCUAUGGUCAAAUUGAUUUUUUUAGUGGAUCUUCAAUACUAAUGUACUAGUAGUAUAAACUUUUUGUGUUGUUUUUUAACCUCACAUAGUUUUUAAUAUAGAUAAUGUUAAUUCUGAACACUGCAUUUUUUUGGGGUAAUUUAUUUGUUACUGUUAUUGCUAUUUAUUCAGUCUCGCAGAUAUCUUCUUGUAUACAUUGGCAAUUAAAAAACGUCUUAAAUUUUUAUUUGUUGUAAAUUGGAAAAUACUGAGAUGACAGAUUAAUGUUUAUGAGAUAACAAUCCGAUAAAAAAAAAUGCAAAUAUUACUAGAAUUCAUAAUUGUGAAAUAAAUUGAAAUAGCCAAUGAGAACAAGAGCUUAUGAAAUUGUUAGUAGUGUUUGUCACGGAAUAGAAGUUCCUUCAUAAUAUAAGUUCCAAAAGGAACAGAUAUUCUGGAAUAUUAUUUCCACAGGAAUAAAUAUUACAGUAUAUGUUCCUAACGGAAGAAAUGGUAUAGAAUAUUUGUUCCAACAGGAAUAGAUAUUAUGACAAUGUUUAUAACAAAGUUUCCAUUGGAACUUCUGUUAGGUGGAACAAAUAUACGUUGACAGUGAUUAUGAUAUUUGGUAUAUAUGUUGUUGCAUUAAGAUGAGCACAACUCACUAUGCAAUUAGAAAAUAAAUGGCUCCAUUUUCGAAUUCAGGGUAUGGACACUGAAACAUUAACAGUUACCAUGUUGAACUUAAUUGUGAUUAGGUAUAGUGAACCACCAUUGAUAAUUCAUUGAUAUUGGUAUACAGUGUGAACAUCUCAUUUAACAGAGAUUAUUAUAAUUUGACUAGGUGCGUCUGUCAGUAUCUUACCAAUAAUUAAUUAAGAGACUGGUUAAGUUUGAUUUUUAUGUCUAAAUUCUAAGCAACACGUGACCUCUUUUUCUUUUGCAGUUUCGAGUAUUAUGUACACCAAAAAAAAAGUUAUUUAUUUCUUCCAUCUCCCUAAACCCACUCUUCAAUGUACUCAUUCAUGCCAUCAAUUUUAUUUCAAGAGCAGAAAUCAGGAGCGUAUUUUGUUCUUCUUCGGUCGUGAGCCAGAGGAGGUCCAUUUCUAUUGUUUUGCAUCUUCUGGUUAUCUUCCACCUUUUUUAAACAAAACAAAAAAGGUGGUUUAGACGGCAGAGGCACAAAACAAACAAGCAUGGAGUCGUUUAGUCUAAAUAACAAUAAUAAAUUUAUGAAUGUAGAUAUAUAAGAAUGUGAGCUGUGUUAUAAACGCUUUUAUGGUAUGUCAGUCUUAGUAGGACAUCCCUGUAGGACGAUAAGCUGGAUAAAUACAAGAACUACACGGACAAUAACAGUUAAGGAGCAACUAUUUGUCAUUCAAGGGAUUUGUUUCAUUGGUUGUGUUUAACACUCAUGAUUAGGCUAGUGUCCAAAUAUGAAGUGGAUGUAAGCAAUUAUAGGCAACAUUAAGGCCUUCUACAAUGACACAACCCAAUACUGUAAAGCCGUUUAUAGAAGGCCAUGAAAAGUGUACAAAAAAUCAAACAAAAAAACUAUAGGUCUAACCAUACAAAACAAAACAAUUUAUAAAAAAUUAAAUAUGAGUUGAGACAUGUACUAAUGACAACCACUAAACAGGUUCAUAAAGAAUAUGGCAGGGGUUGAUAUAAAAACGAAGAUAUGGUAUGAUUACCAAUGAGACACUCUUAAUAGAGACAAAAUGACACACAAAAAUUAACAGCCAUAGGUCACCAUACAGCCCUCAACAAUAAACAAAGCCCAUACCACAUAGUCAGCUAUAAAAGGUCCCGAAAUUACAAAAUUUAUGUAAAACCAUUCAAAGGAGAAAACUAACGGCCUAAUUAAUGUACAAAAAAAAAGUGAAAAAAAAAAAAAUAAGACGGCAACAAACGACAACCACUGACUUGCAGGCUCUUGACUUGGGACAGACACGUACAUACAGAAUGUGGCAGGGUUAAAUAUGUUAGCGGGAUAACAACAAUCCCUUAACCUGGGACAGUGGUGUAACAGUACAACUUGUUUGUGAUCGCUCAAUCCUUCCCGGAGCUGAAACAGUAGUGUGGCAGUACAGUAUAAGAACAACCUGUGCAAAUCAGUUGCAAUUAGAUUAACUCAAACGAUCGGUACGAGACACACAAAAAAAAACAAAACAAUAAGCUUGAGAGUUUCAAUAAAUUGUGGAUUCAAUUUACUCAUUUGUUCGAUUGUAAUUAAAGUCCUAUUAUAAUUCAUAUGUGAAAAACAUGAUAGAAUGUUAAUUUGUGAACCAACAAAAAAGUUACAUCAAAAAUAUUCAUCAGAACAUUAUAUUUAUAUUUAUUUUCUUUUUUUUCUCUGUGUUAAUUUUUUCUUUUUUUAUUAUUUUAAAUUUUAUUUAACUUAUUUUUCCUCAAAAUUUCCAUUCUUAAAAAAACUAUAAAAACUUAGAAUAUCUGUACGUUUGUUAAACAAUUAUUCUAAUAUGAUGAAUACAUUUAUUUGUGGUCCUUAAUUUUGAACUUUUAUUAUGUUAUUUUUUAAUGCAAAUAAAAAAUGCGAUAUUAUACUGUAACUACAGCUGAUAUAUUUUUUUGUAAAAUGAACUAACAAAUACUAACACAUAUAUAUUUGCAUGAUCUAUUACUAACAUUAACGAGGCCGGGAUAAGGUACCGGUAUUCGAUGUUUUCAUUACUAACAAAUGUACAGAUUUCAAUAUAAAAUGAAAAUUAAAAAAAAAAAAAAAAAAAAAAGAAACGGCGAACUUACAUUAAGACAAUAGACUCGAAGCAUCAAACUAAGAGUAUUUGCAAUUAAUGGAAGUUUGUUCAAAGCUAGUUGCAACUUGUUCUGAAAUAAAACUUGUUCUUCCAGACUGAAGUAUCAAUCAGUACACAACCAACUGAUUUAUUUUUAAAAAAAUCUUAAGAAACGUCUGCUAUACGAUGUAUCCUUACAUAUAGAUCCAUAUACAAUGAAAGUUUUUGAAAAGUGGAAGUCCAAAGGUUUUGACCAUCAAAAUUUUGCAUUAGAAAAAAUAGUUAGGACCAGAAGAUUUUUUUCUAGGACCACCAGAGAAAAAGGAUUUUGAGAACUUUCUGAUAUCUUUGUUUUAUCACAAAAAAAGUCCACUUCGGUUACUUUAAAAAAAAAAUGUGGAUUGACUAAGAUGUCCUUUUUGAUCAGUCAUAUUCACAGGCACUUGUCUCAGAAUUUUUUUCCUGUAUAUAUACUAGACAAACAUUGACAAUUUCUUGUGCAGUUUAAGAUUAUUCUUAAAAAACAUAUAGUGGGGGUUAAUCCUGGUUCUCUACUGGACGUAUCUUAAUUUUCUAAACAAUUAUUGAAAACUUAAUUUAUGUCAUCAAACAUAAUAAAAAUCUGCUGUAUUUGAAGGCAAAUUGAAUUUGUAUUCAUUGAUCUUCCGUAGAAUAUCUCCAGAAGAGGUCCAGAUUCUUUUUGUGGGGGAUUCUUCACUAAAAGACAUCCUGGAAAUGUGUAGAAGAGACCAAUAAAACAGGCCCAAGUAGUUUUGACAUCAUUUAAAUUUCAGAUAAACUUUACAUUUGUUGAAAAAUAUAUUAACCCAAACAAAUUUUGAAACCUAAACCAAAACCAAUCAAAACCAGUUUUAAACCAAAACCUAAAACUAAUAAAAACCAGUUUUUUCUGUAACAAAUACGCCCUUAAUCACAAUCAAAAUCCAGAGCUGUAUCAAGCUUGAAUGAUCUUGAAUGUAGUGUCCAUAAUUGCCCCAACUUUUCAGGGUUCGACCUAGGUGGUCGUAUCAAGCUGCGCCCAGGAGAGCAUUUCAUUUAUACUUGUAUUGCUAAGUUUUACUAAAGAACAAGUGGACAUGUAGUCUCUCGUUAAAGAAAACUCUCAUCUUAUAGAAAUCUUAAGAAAUGUACUGCUAUUGAAUUAUUGUUUUCCCGUUCCCUUCUCUAAAUUGCCUUUCUUAUGCAUUUACCUCAACUAAAAGACCUCUCAUUAGAACUUCUUAGAUCUGCAAACACACAGCACAAAUGAAAGGGAAACCCGUUUUGAAAAAGAAAAGGUAAACAAACAUGCACUGCAAGGUAGAUAAGUGUAUAUUGAUUCUGAAAGACAAAUACUAAAUCACUUAAAACCUGUCAUGACAAAGUUUUGAUUAACAAAGGAAACGCCUGACAAUUCGGAAAGAAAUAAACAUUGCUCUAUCAACUUUCUUAUUUUUCAGGUACUUUAUGAUUCUGUGUGGAUUGUUAUUUAAGGUAAUGACUGUAAAGCUAAUGCAACACAACAAUUAGAAGCUAGAGUUAUGGAUUAACAAUCAUUCAAUGAUAUAUUUUGUAUUCAUAAGAUUAUGCAUUAUGGAUUUGUAAUAAACAAAAACAAAAACUUUAGAUGCUUAACAUUAUAAUAACAUGAUGCUCGUUUGAGAUAACUUUAAUCAUGAUUAUUCAAACGAGUACUUUCGGAUUUUGGUUACUUUCUCAUAAAAUAUUGUAAAUUCAAUAUUACUUCGUCAAAAGCAGUCAGUGUUCCGCAACCAUAACCUCUCACUGCUUAUGUCUUUAUAAUGAACCUACAAGACUGUCCAUCAGUCUACCAGCUGACUGUGUAGUGUUGAGACAGAAUUUAUCUCUUUCUCAUUUUUAGCUCACUUGGCCCGCAAGUGAGCUUUUCUCUUCACUUGGCGUCCGUCACAGUUUGAAUCAGUGACCCAGUGGAAUGAAACAAAAUUUGGCAUGAAUGUUCGUUAUAAGGUACUGACUAAAUGCUGUUACUUUGUAGCAGAUCCAUAAUCCAAGAUGGUCUCCAGCAGGGGACUGUCGUUUAACAUAGGACCCUUUUGACAAUACAUACAAAUGUCUUCUUUUAGAGAACUUCUGAAUGGAAUGAAACUAAACAUGUUCCUUAUGUGGUGCUGACCAAGUGUUGUAAUUUUUUGUAGCCGAUCCAUCAUCCAAGAUAUCCAUAAAAAGGUACUUAGUUUAACAUAUGGCCCUUUUGGGCUUUACAUACAAAUGUCUUCUUUUAAAGAACCUCGAUAUGGAAUGAAAUAAAAAUUGCAUGAAUUUUCCAUAUGAGGUGCUGACAAAGUAUUGUAACUUUGUAGGUGAUCCAUCAUCCAAGAUGGCCAUCAGCGGGGGACAUGUUUAACACAGGACCCUGUGGACAAUGCAUAAAAUGGUCUUCUUUUAGAUAACAACUAAAUGGAAUGAAUGUUCCAAAUCAGGUGCAGGCCAAGUGUUGUUACUUUAUAACCAAUCAAUCAUUCAAGAUGGCUGCCAGAGGGGAACUUAGUUUAACAAGAAUCCUAUGUGAAAUACAUGCAAAAGUCUUCUUUUGAAAAACCGCUAAAUGGAAUGAAACCAAACAUGGUAUGACUGUUCCAUGUGAGGUGCUGACCAAUGGUGUUCACUUUGUAGCAAAUCCAUCAACCAAGAUGGCUGCCAAUGGGAAUUUCGUUUAAGAUAGAAGCCUAUGUGAAAAAUAUACAAAUGUCUUCUUUUAGAAAACCGCUUAAUAGAUUGAAACCAAAAUUGUAUGAAUGUUUCUUUUGAUGUGCUGAACAAGUGUUGUUUAUACCUUGUAGCUGAUUCGUCAUUGUCCUUAUAAAGUCAUUUUCUACAUUUUGUAAACUUUACAAAAGUCUUCUGCGUUUGGUUAAAUUACGAGACAACAUUCAAUCAAAUUUGGCCUCAAUUAUUAUUAGGGUAUCUGUUAUGAUUUAGAUUUAAUCUAUUUUUACAUGAUUUCCAAAACCAAACUAGAAUCAGGUGAGCGACACAGGCUCUUGGAAGCCUCUAGUUACUUAGGCAAUUUAUUUGAAAAUUAUUGUAUUUUUUAGACUUUUACAUUUUGAUUUUAAAAUUAAGUUCAUUUUAUGAUUAAGUAGUUUUGGUAUUAAUUCUAUAUUUUAUUUUUACAUUGGAAAGAG